UACGUAGGGCGCAAGCGUUGUCCGGAAUUAUUGGGCGUAAAGGGCUCGUAGGCGGUCUGUCACGUCGAGAGUGAAAACUUACAGCUUAACUGUGAGCGUGCUUUCGAUACGGGCAGACUUGAGGCAUUCAGGGGAGAACGGAAUUCCUGGUGUAGCGGUGAAAUGCGUAGAUAUCGAGAGGAACACCUGCGGCGAAGGCGGGUUGCUGGGCUGAUACUGACGCUGAGGCGCGAAAGCCAGGGGAGCGAACGGG
rnacentral:rRNA from 1 species